GUACACUCCUGCGGGAGGCAGCAGUGGGGAAUUUUGGACAAUGGGCGAAAGCCUGAUCCAGCAAUGCCGCGUGAGUGAAGAAGGCCUUCGGGUUGUAAAGCUCUUUUGUCAGGGAAGAAACGGUGAAAGCUAAUAUCUUUUGCUAAUGACGGUACCUGAAGAAUAAGCACCGGCUAACUACGUGCCAGCAGCCGCGGUAAUACGUAGGGUGCAAGCGUUAAUCGGAAUUACUGGGCGUAAAGCGUGCGCAGGCGGUUUUGUAAGUCUGAUGUGAAAUCCCCGGGCUCAACCUGGGAAUUGCAUUGGGGACUGCAAGGCUAGAAUCUGGCAGAGGGGGGUAGAAUUCCACGUGUAGCAGUGAAAUGCGUAGAUAUGUGGAGGAACACCGAUGGCGAAGGCAGCCCCCUGGGUCAAGAUUGACGCUCAUGCACGAAAGCGUGGGGAGCAAACAGGAUUAGAAACCCGUGUAGUCCA
rnacentral:rRNA from 1 species